rnacentral:rRNA from 1 species
GAUGAACGCUAGCGGCAGGCUUAAUACAUGCAAGUCGAGGGGCAGCAUGACUGUAGCAAUACAGUUGAUGGCGACCGGCAAACGGGUGCGGAACACGUACAGAACCUUCCUUCGAGCGGGGAAUAGCCCAGAGAAAUUUGGAUUAAUACCCCAUAGUACAACGGAGUGGCAUCACUUUGUUGUUAAAGAUUUAUCACUUGAAGAUGGCUGUGCGGCUGAUUAGGUAGUUGGCGGGUAACGGCCCACCAAGGCGACGAUGGGUAGGGGUCCUGAGAGGGAGAUCCCCCACACUGGUACUGAGACACGGACCAGACUCCUACGGGAGGCAGCAGUGAGGAAUAUUGGUCAAUGGGCGCAAGCCUGAACCAGCCAUGCCGCGUGCAGGAUGACGGUCCUAUGGAUUGUAAACUGCUUUUGUACAGGAAGAAACACUCCCUCGUGAGGGAGCUUGACGGUACUGUAAGAAUAAGGAUCGGCUAACUCCGUGCCAGCAGCCGCGGU